rnacentral:rRNA from 1 species
UACGAAGGGGGCUAGCGUUGCUCGGAAUCACUGGGCGUAAAGCGCACGUAGGCGGAUUGCUAAGUCAGGGGUGAAAUCCUGGAGCUCAACUCCAGAACUGCCUUUGAUACUGGCAAGCUUGGAGUCCGGGAGAGGUGAGUGGAACUGCGAGUGUAGAGGUGAAAUUCGUAGAUAUUCGCAAGAACACCAGUGGCGAAGGCGGCUCACUGGCCCGGUACUGACGCUGAGGUGCGAAAGCGUGGGGAGCAAACAGG